UUCUUCAGGGCGGGGCGAAACUCCCCACCGGCGGUAGAGCCCGCGAGCGCCUGCCUGCAAGGCAGGUGCUGAACCGGUGAGAUUCCGGUGCCGACCGUACAGUCGGGAUGAAAGAACG
rnacentral:ncRNA from 1 species